rnacentral:sRNA from 1 species
AAAACAGCUUUGGAAACUGAAGGAUUCUAAUUAUCCACAGAACGGGUACAAUUUGGCCAGUGGCAGAACAAAUGAGUUCCUACUGCCCUGCCGAUGUGCCUCAUACAUUUCUUAGGACCUCAUGUACUAUACAGAUUGUAAGGCUUCGUCCCCAUUCAAGUCUUUGGUAAGAUUUC